AGAGAGAGAGAAAAAAAAACAGAAUAACAGUCAGUAUGCUUACGUAAUGCCUGAACAUCUGUCGGAGUUGUAGGUUCAACACUCAUCGUUCUAGACUUCAUUGCUCCAGUGGACCUCCCCGAAGAAAAACAAGCCGUCAUCCCGGAGGGUUAAAGAACAUGAGAGCCGUCAUCAUAGUUUGCCUGUUCGCAGCCGCUUUUGUGGCUCCGGGCGAAGUGAAGCUGAUCCGUACCAAGAGGGAUAGUUAUCCCGCGGCGUACGAGACGGAACACAGUGAGUCUAGUGUGCAGAUCUUUUA